GUUGGCGGGAGUGGUGUGUGUGUGGAGGCCUUCGACCAUAAAUAUAAUAGACUGGCCCUGACGUCAUUUUCGUGGCUCCAACAUCUGUGGGCUGAAGUCACUUGAAUGUUGGCAAAACAUGGUUGUUUCAUGUUGCGCUUAUGGCUGUACUCAGCGUUUUGUCGGGGGAAAUGGCAUUACAUUUCACGUGUUCCCUAAGGAUGAAAACCGAAGGCGGCUUUGGAUACAGGCCCUGAAGCGGAAAAAUUUUAAGCCAUCUGCACAUACGUGCCUUUGCUCGAAGCACUUCGAGGAGAAAUGUUUUGAUAGGGCUAAGACUGGAGGGAAUUGGCUAAGAAGUGAUGCUAUCCCGACACUUUUCGAUUUUCCGGAGCAUAUGAAAUCGAAGAGGCCUAAGCUCCGUAAAUCGCACAGUACAAGGCGUUCGAUAAAUGAUGCCUCGUCUUCUGAAGUCUGUGCUUCCAAUGCCUUGACGUUAUGCGAUAUGGAAACGAACACCCCGAAAAACAAAAGUUUCAGGUAUAUUGGGGACUUUUCGAAUAGCGAUUUGUGUACUCCUGGCAUAGCAGAAAAAGUGAUAGAUGUGGCAAGACGGCAGGUUAGCAUCAAAGUCAGAAAGUUAAAGAAUUUGUAGCGGUCAUCUCGUGGGAUGAAGAUGAAAGUCUUGUCUUUGAAAUCUUUGAUAAAUAAUCUUGAAAAUAAUCGUGUUAUAAAUGAAUCACUGGCUAAUUUACUAAAGGCAAGUAUAUUUACAAUGACUUUCAUUUUCAAAAUGUAUGACUGAUUGCAGGUUGGAAUACUUAUGCAUAAAUGAUAUGGCUUUUUGCUAUCAGAUGCUGCCACCUGGUACUUUGGAGUUGCUCCAACGUGUCAGUAAAGGUAACGAAGCAAAUAUGUAUCCAGCAGCUCUUAGUACCUUUGCUCUAACACUAAAUUUUUACAGUAGCAAGGCAUAUAGCUAUGUAAGGAAAAAUUUUAAAACAUCACUGCCACAUCCACGAACAUUAAGAAAAUGGUACAGUGCUGUUGAUGGGGAUCCUGGUUUCAGUAAAGAAGCAGCAAUAGCGCUUAGAAUAAAGAGUCAAGAACUCAUUAGCAAAGGUAAGAAAUUGCUUUGUGCCAUCUCAUUUGAUGAGAUUGCCGUAAGGAAGCAUGUUGAAUUUUGUGGAAAUAAGUUUAUUGGUUACAUAGAUUAUGGUACAGAUCUUGACAAUGACAAUGUGCCUGUUGCAAAUGAGGCAUUAACAUUCAUGUUGACUGCUGUUAAUGGUUCAUGGAAAAUUCCAAUUGGCUACUUUUUAGUCAAUGGCCUGGGUGCUAUUGAAAAAUCAAACCUAAUUAAGGAGGCAUUGAAAUUUACAUAUGAUGCUGGAGUAGAAGUAAUUUCUGUUACUUUUGAUGGUGCUCAUGUAAACACUGCAAUGGUAGACAAGCUAGGGGCCUGUCUCUCAACAUGCAGAAUGAAAUCUUUUUUUAAAAAAAAACCCUCUAUGUAAGGAUGAUGUUUGCAUAUUCCUUGAUCCAUGUCACAUGUUCAAGUUAAUACGGAAUACAUUAGCUGGUAAAGGUGUCAUUUUCGAUGGAAACAGAAAUCUAAUAAAAUGGGAUUAUGUAUUAAAAUUACAUGAGCUGCAAAAAGUGGAGAAACCUCUGGCUGCUACAAAAAUAAGAACAAAACACAUUGAGUGGUAUCGUCAUAAAAUGAAUGUAAGGACUGCUGUGCAAACAUUUAGUGGUAGUGUAGCUAAUGCUCUAGAAUUUCUUGACAAAGAUUUGCAGCUAGCUGACUUUAAAGGAUGUGAACAUACAGUUCAAUUUAUAAGGAUAAUGAACAACCUUUUUGAUUGUUUCAAUACUAGGGAUCGCCUGUCCAAAGGGUAUAAAUCUCCUCUGUCAAUGCAGACAGCUGUCCAUAUUUUACCAUUUCUUGAUGAAGUGGAAAAAUAUAUUAAGGAGUUGAGACUUGAGGCUAAUGGGCCAUCUAUUUUGUAUACUAACAGAAAGACUGGUUUCCUUGGCUUUCUUGUAUGUAUACAGAGCCUAAGAAAAUUACAUGUUUCCCUCAUAGACAGCUCUCAACCGAAACUAAAUUCCUUGCUUACAUAUAAAUGGCUACAGGACCACAUAGAGACAUUUUUCAGCUCAAUCAGAAGAUAUGGUGGUGAUAACAACAAUCCCACAGCAGAUCAAUUCAAAGCAUCCUACAAACUAUUGCUUAUCCAUCAGCAGGUAAGAGGGUCAGAAUUUGAACCUACUUUAGUUACUGCAGAUUGUUCCAUUCUCAGUGUAUCUUCUGGACUGGAUGUAAUGCAAUCUAACCCAUUUACAUGAGCUAUCAAUUGUAAUUCAGAGAAGUUAGGCCUAGAUGGUACAUCAGUCUCUCAUGAUUACUCAUACAGCAUUCCUGCUGUCUCAUUUGAACAGCUGUCAAAUUAUGUACGGAAUGUUGUUGCAUACAUAGCAGGAUUCGUUGUGCGUAUAUUGACUAAGUCAGUACAUUGUGUAGAAUGUGCAAAUUCCUUGUGUGGGGCAGUGGACAGUGACAUUGGACUAAUCAGAAGAAAGAAUGUGGGAGGUUUAGUUAUUAAAAUUUGCGUUAUUAUUAAAAUCUGCAAAGCAACAGAGCAAGCUUAUCGGUUGCAACAGGUGAAGGGAAUGUUGCAAAAGAAAAAUGUUAUGCUUAUUCUUGUUUCAUGUGCUAUCGCAGAUGUUGAUUGUAGUGUUUUUCAAUCCAACAACGAACAUAUUAUGGUUUCAUGCUUUCCCGGCGAAAUGCUGACAUUCUGGAGUAGUCGGGUGUUCUGCCGGAUGUUCAUGUCAAACUUGCACAAUAUUUCGACAGUGUGCCUCACUGUCGAAAUAUUGUGCAAGUUUGACACGAAUAUCCGGCAGAACACCCGACUACUCCAGAAUGUCAAUAUAUUAUGGACUUUGAGCCCACAGAAAAUCACAGAAAUGCUCUAAUUAAAUCAAUUUUAUUUGAGUAUUUUAAAAUUAGAAAUCACCAUUUUGGAAAGUCUGUGAUGAAACAUUCCAGAAAGGUUGUGUUAGGAGUUUACAUACAAAAACUGUGCUGUUUAAUGGACAUUAAAUAUUCUAUGCCUGAUCCCUAUUACAUUAGAGUUAAUAAUUGCCAAUGUUAUGUUGUUUAUUAUUAUUAAUGUUUGAACCAUGAUGUCUACACAAAGUACAGACAGAGGUAUCUGGAGUUCUUAGCCUCUCUAAGAGCCCAUACUGCAUCCACAAAGCCUUUUUCAAUAUAUGUUUGGACUUUACUUCUGUUUUCAGACCAAUUGGAUUCAUUUGUUUUAUGUAAACCUAGAUAUUCUUUUGCUCUUAACAGAAUAUAUAUUUAUGUACUGUCUUUUUUUAUUUUUUGUUCCUUCUAGGUCUGUAUGUUGUGUUGUUAAUUUGUUUGGGCCCUUAUAUUUUUACUAAAUUUAUUUCUAGUCAGUGUCUUCUAUAUCUUUUUAUCUGUUAAACAUUGUUCUGCCUUCUUAGAAUAUGGGCUUAAGAAAUAAAUCUGUUGGGAAAUAUUGUGUUGUAAGAAA